rnacentral:rRNA from 1 species
UACGUAGGGUGCAAGCGUUAUCCGGAAUUAUUGGGCGUAAAGAGCUCGUAGGCGGUUUGUCGCGUCUGCUGUGAAAACUGGAGGCUCAACCUCCAGCCUGCAGUGGGUACGGGCAGACUAGAGUGCGGUAGGGGAGAUUGGAAUUCCUGGUGUAGCGGUGGAAUGCGCAGAUAUCAGGAGGAACACCGAUGGCGAAGGCAGAUCUCUGGGCCGUAACUGACGCCGAGGAGCGAAAGCAUGGGGAGCGAACAGG